CCUACGGGUGGCAGCAGUGGGGAAUAUUGCACAAUGGGGGAAACCCUGAUGCAGCGACGCCGCGUGAGUGAAGAAGGAAUUCGGUACGUAAAGCUCUAUCAGCAGGGAAGAAAAGGACGGUACCUGAGUAAGAAGACCCGGCUAACGACGUGCCAGCAGCCGCGGUAAUACGUAGGGGGCAAGCGUUAUCCGGAUUUACUGGGGGUAAAGGGAGCGUAGACGGUGCGCCAAGUCUGGAGUGAAAUGCCGCCGCUUAACGGCGGAACUGCUUUGGAAACGGGCGAACUAGAGUGCGGGAGGGGUAAGCGGAAUUCCUUCUGUAGCGGUGAACUGCUUAGAUAUUAGGAG
rnacentral:rRNA from 1 species